rnacentral:rRNA from 1 species
CAGCAGUAGCCGCGGGAAAACAGAGGGUGCGAGCGUUAAUCGGAUUUACUGGGCGUAAAGCGUGCGUAGGCGGCUUCUUAAGUCGGAUGUGAAAUCCCUGAGCUUAACUUAGGAAUUGCAUUCGAUACUGGGAAGCUAGAGUAUGGGAGAGGAUGGUAGAAUUCCAGGUGUAGCGGUGAAAUGCGUAGAGAUCUGGAGGAAUACCGAUGGCGAAGGCAGCCAUCUGGCCUAAUACUGACGCUGAGGUACGAAAGCAUGGGGAGCAAACAGGAUUAGAUACCCCCGUAGUCCCUGUCUCUUAUAC